rnacentral:tRNA from 1 species
GGGGAUGUCGCUCAGUGGUAGAGCAUUUGCUUGGCAUGCAAAAGGCACUGGGUUCAAUCACCAGCACUGCAA